rnacentral:rRNA from 1 species
UACGGACUGAGAUAAUGGUUAACAGAGACAAACGGGGGCAUUUGUAUGGUCCCGUGAGAGGUGAAAUUCUUGGACCGUGGCCAGACAAACUACAGCGAAAGCAUUUGCCAAGAAUGUUUUUAUUAAUCAAGAACGAAAGUCAGAGGUUCGAAGGCGAUCAGAUACCGCCCUAGUUCUGACCGUAAACGAUGCCAACUAGCGAUCCGCCGAUGGAAAUUAUAUUGCCUUGGUGGGGAGCUUCCCGGAAACGAAAGUCUUCCGGUUCCGGGGGAAGUAUGGUUGCAAAGCUGAAACUUAAAGGAAUUGACGGAAGGGCACCACCAGGAGUGGAGCCUGCGGCUUAAUUUGACUCAACACGGGGAAACUCACCCGGCCCGGACACUGUGAGGAUUGACAGAUUGAUAGCUUUUUCAUGAUUCAGUGGAUGGUGGUGCAUGGCCGUUCUUAGUUCGUGGAGUGAUUUGUCUGGUUUAUUCCGAUAACGAGCGAGACUCUAACCUACUAAAUAGUUGGUACAUACUCUUAGUGUAUACAGCUUCUUAGAGGGAUUUGCGGCGUUCAGCCGAAAGAAAUUGAGCAAUAACAGGUCUGUGAUGCCCUUAGAUGUCCGGGGCUGCACGCGCGCUACACUGGCAAUUUCAACGUGCUUGUCCUACCCUGAAAGGGGCGGGUAAACCAUUGAAAAUUUGCCGUGAUUGGGAUCGGAAAUUGCAAUUAUUUUCCGUGAACGAGGAAUUCCAAGUAAGUGCGAGUCAUCAGCUCGCGUUGAUUACGUCCCUGCCCUUUGUACACACCGCCCGUCGCUGCCCGGGACUGAGCCAUUUCGAGAAAUUUGGGGACCGUUGAUUUAAUUUUUCUAAAUUACUUUGAUGGAAACCAAUUUAAUCGCAGUGGCUUGAACC